UGUUGGAAAUUUGUCUGGCCGAAGAUACAAAUCCAGAAGAUCAGUCGAGUUGUCCUGCAAAGAGCUGCAAUACCAGUUCAAGUGGAGAUACUGAAGUGGACUCAGAUGACACCAUAAUAUUACAACACAGUCCUACAACAAGACGGAGAGUUGAAGACACCUCUCUUGCCAAAUCCCUCACAAGCCCCAAGCAACAGAAUUGGCGUGCAAUAUUGGAGCUAUCCAGCCUUAUAGAUGUGAGCCAGAUGCCAACUCAGACGAGGAGAAUGAAGACAAGCGGAGCAGGGAGCUUGUGGCCUGCCAAAUGUAGCUUGUGGUUGCUGUCAUUGGUGAGGAUGCAUCGUCCGUUGAAGGUCAUGUGAAUGUCCUGCAUAUCCAGUACAGCAAGGUGCGAGAGGAUAUACUAAAGAAGUACCCUUUCUCGAAGACAACCUCAGGGUUGUUUGAUGUUGACCGAAUGCAUCCAUCACCUGUCAGUUUAAGCCAGCGCUUCAAGGACGGCGUUUACCAGUGUUGUGCCAAAGGUGCUUGAGCUUGUUCAAAGAAAAGCUCCAUUAGCCAAAGUCUCCAAAGAAGCAAGAGAAGAGAUGCUUGCAGAGGAUCUACUAGGUAUUGACAUAAAACGUAAUCCUUGGUAAUCUUUAGUGUGUUUUAUAGUUCUUCUUUUUAGAAUUCGUAUCAAUAUUAUCUUAUCACAUUUAUGCAUUUUAUUAUUUAAAUUAUGCAUUUAAACU